UCCGCCCACACAGUGAACAACAACAAAAGCCAUGCCAUCACCCCCACCAAUCAGGCUCCGCCCACCUGUACCGUAGCCCCUCCCUCCGCCCCGCUCCGCACUGCCCGAGGCCACCAGCCCGCCGUCUCGUCUCCCCUCGCGCCACACUCUGCCGCGGAAGAGGACGGACCGCCCAGCACCACGAGAACCUCCGUAAAAAAAAAAAAAAAAGGCUAACCAAAGUUUUCCCGCACCUGAGUGACCCGCGCCGAGCAGAGUGACGGACGGAGUGACAGUGGCGAGAGGGACUGGGAGUGAGCAUGAGUGAGUGAGUGAGGGUAGUAACCACAGCACGCCGCCCUCAAGGGUCGUCCGGGCAGGCUGAAGUAGGACUUGAAGCGUUUGAAGAGGGCGGGUGCUCAAGCGUGUCCCGCCGAGAGGAGUGUGCGCGCAAGAGUGGCCGAGGGAGACUCCUGACUAAACACGAGUGAUACAUGACCGCUACUCGCCCGCACUUGGUCGCCUCUUGGUUACUCACUUGAGACACAGAUACUUCGCCCGCGGGGGACGCACGACUUCUUUGCAUUUCUCUCUCUCUCUCUCUCUCUCUCUCUCUCUCUCUCUCUCUCUCUCUCUCUCUCUCUCUCUCUCUCUCUCUCUCAAGUCGUGAAAGCUUUUACAUGAAACUCCAAUAAUAAGCGACAUCACAAACAAGUUGGUGCCUGAACAAAGUGACUUCAUUAUUAUUUUUGCUCUUAUCUCCUGGAGGCGUCCUGCACCGCCGCCACCACCACCGCCACUCACGCCUGUAGCUCCCACAGCCUGCAUCCCCACACGCCCGUGGUCCACGCGAGCGCCGCCGCCGCAACCUCCGUCCAGCUCCGCCAUCCACCCACACACACACACUAUGAUGAUGUCCGGCGGCAUGCCACCCACAGCGGGCGGUAUGGGCGUGAUGGGUGUAAUGGGUGGCUAUCUCGGUGGUGGACGAGAGUACCUGGAGGGUGGGGGCGUGGGCGUGGACUCCUCAGUAUGGGUGCCGCCAUUCUGGGAAGAUCCCCACCUUGCCGACGCCCAUCUACACGAUCCAAGCAUCGCCGAGGCCGCCCACAUGGGGGAGCCGCCAAGCAUGGGUGACGUGGGCGGCGGGGAUCUCAUGGACGCUUUCCCCCCACACCAACAGCACGAAUACAUGAUGAGCAGCGACGGCGUUGUGGUGAAGGAGGAAGAGAACAUCAAGGACGACUAUUUCAAGUACAAGGACGCCACCUACGCCAAGUACGUGAAGGACAACGACUACCUGAAGGAGGAGACCCCAUACCUCGACGGCGGCGGCGGCGGAGGCGGCGGCGGUGGCGGGGAGGGAGGGAGAGACAGCGGAGGAAGUGGCGGAGUAGACGGUGGUCCUCAGAUUACUGGAGGAGGCCCUGGAGUGAUGGGCGUGAACAGCUCCCCGACGGCUUCCCUCUCUCCUCCAGGCACUACCUCCUCCAGCGGCUCCUCCUCCUCCCUCCACCCGCCGCUGACCUCCCCGCAUGUGCAGCAGCUAAGCUCCCUGUGCCCCCCCUUCCCCGAGGCCCAGCUCACCUCCCUCUCUUCCCACAAAGAUGACCCGGACAAGAAAGGCGGUCCUGGUGGUGACAAGAGCAAGGGAGGAGACGGACCUAAACCCCAAGACCAAGAGGAAACCCAGAGUGCUCUUUUCGCAGGCCCAGGUGUAUGAGCUGGAGCGGAGGUUCAAGCAGCAGCGGUACCUGUCAGCCCCGGAGCGGGAACACCUGGCGGGGCUCCUCAAGCUCACCUCCACGCAAGUCAAAAUCUGGUUCCAGAAUCGCCGCUACAAGUGCAAGCGACAACGACAGGACAAGAACCUCGAAAUGAGUACCGCCGCCGUCGCUGCCGCCGCCUCCAUGGCCUCCGUCACCUCGCCCCGCCGGGUCGCUGUCCCCGUCCUAGUGAGAGACGGGAAGCCCUGUCCAACUGGCUAUCCCCCCGCCUAUCCAUCAGCCUACACGCCGCCCCAGUACUCUCCGCCAGCCUACCAGUGCCCCUACACGGCCCAGACAGCGGGCUACCCUCAGACGCAGACCUUCAACCAACAAACCCUAAGAACCUGGUGAUAAAGAGGAGAGCUGAGAAGGAAAGCGCAAAGGAGGAUGAUGGGAGGAAGAGAAGGAAGAGGAGAAAAUUGAUGUAUGACACGGAAAAGCAAAAAGAAAAGUAAAGAAGUGUAGGAGGAAAGAGUGAACGAAGAAAUCGCGAUGGAGAGAAAAUGAAAGGAGGAGGAAUGUAAAGUUAAGAAGAGUAACAGAGAAGAGUAAGAGAAGGGUUGAUCUGCUCGUGCACCUCUCCUCGUCCUCUUUCUUGGCGGUGAGAAAGAGGAAGUGUACAAGGAACUCUAAUAUUAGGAAUGCUGUAAAUAAUUAGGGUGUUUUAUAAGUCUGAAUUAAUUUUGUAGAGACAGAGAACAAAAAAAGUACUAAUGCCGUAAAAAAAAACAAAAUAAUGAAUAAGUUAGGUCUUUGUGAUAACGUGUAGGGCAUCGACGAAGGAAAAUGUAUUGAGUAUAAUUUUCCCAACGAUGAUAGUGGUUAUUAUUAUUAUUAUUAUUAUUAUUAUUAUUAUUAUUAUUAUUAUUAUUAUUAUUAUUAUUAUUAUGAAUUAAUUAUCAGCAGUGCUAAUAUGUUCCUUAUAGGAGAGUAAUUUUAUGCCUUUUAUUACCUUAACACACACACACACACACACACACACACGCAAAGAAAAGAGGGAGGAGGAAACUAUAAAAAUACGCUUUUCUUUUUCUUCUUCUUUUUUUUUUUUUUUUAGUAAUUGCGAAACUGUCACUCUUUUCUUUAAUCUAACCAAACGUACUACAACUCUUUCUCUCCCUCCUUUGGUCAUGAACUUCCUCCUCCUCUCCCUCAUAUCUCUCCUCAUUGGAUUGAUUAAUAUUAUCUUUUUUUCUCUCUCUCUCUUUGCCGCAAGUAUCUUCCCAUCUUCUCGCUCCCUCCUCCUCUUCCUUAUUAAUAAUCUUCCUAGGUACCAUUUUCCCCCCAUCUCCCUUCUCCCAUCUCUGCCUGUCAUGCGCGUCUCCACAACACAUUCUCUUCUCUACACACUUUACCUCGUCUCUUCUCAUUUUCUCCCAUCUCUCUCGUUAUCCUUUCCCUCUCCAUCCACUCCAGUCGUGUUCAUCCUCUCCCCAGUGUUUCGUCUUCGUCCCUCUCCAGCUUAUCCGAGUAUCUUCACUCUCCUGCCCCUCCUUUCCCCCCUUUUAAUACUUUUGAUAGUUGAAACAGUUUAAAUGAUAUGGUUUUUCUUCCUUACGAGUGUAUAUUGUCUACCCUUUAAGAGAAAUCUCCAUUUACCGGUUUAAGUUGUAGUUGUUAUAGUUUUUACAAAUCUCGAUAGUUUUUUUUCUUUUCAUAAACUUUUGUAUAUUGUAAACUUUUUAGGUAAAUGCUCCGUGUUCUUUCCGAUAAACCUCUUUUUGUGUCAAUGCUGCUAACCUAUAUUUUUACAUAAUAAUAACAUGUGAAA